UGAAAAAAUAUUUAAUCAAUUAUUUGUUUCCUAGCAGAAAACAACAACGGGACUGCUUGAAACAGGCUAACAGUAAUAUCACAGUGGCUGAAUCAUGUUGGUGUGAAGCGGAACCGCCGUUAUCCAUAAUAAAAGCGAUGUAAUGGAUGUGUGUCCGGAAGGAAAAAUGCAGAUGCAAUCGAUCAGUUAAAUUUAAUUCAAAGGAUAUUAUUCAAAAGCGCCUGCCAUGGUCUGAGACGCAGCAACUGUGUAACUGCAAUUUGUGGAAAAUAAAGUCGUCAAUAGUCACUCUAUGCAGCUGGUCAUGAUUGCAUUUCUUUGAUGUUUAAAAUGCUUCUCUCGUAACAUAUUAAAGUAGAAUCUACAACGAUAAUUCCUUUUAUUAUUUCUGAAGGCGAAUAGAGUUCAAGUCACAAAUACUCAACAUACAUGUUUUUCUGGGUUUUUCCCCCCUAAUGACUCAGUGAAAGAUAUUCCCCUAAAUGUGGUUCAUUAUCUACUUUCGUUUUUGAAACACACGUGCACAAACAUCACCAUGCUCACAAAGAGGGUAAAUAUAAGGUCACUUUUGUACACAGAGAUGUCUAAUGAUGUGUACCAGCCCUCCCAUUGGCUAAGACCUCAACAACGUCAGCGUAUACAGGUAAGUUCUGACGUCCAUGUUGUUGACAUCUUCCUGUGAAUUUAUUUCCUACUGAGAAAAAAAAAAACACAGAAAAGAAGAAAUGAUGGGGAAACAAAAACUAGUGGGGAAGUCGGAAUAACCCUCGCUAAACCUCUCUGUAUGUCUCUCUGUCUUUGUCUCACAUACGCACCCGAGCAUCUAUGAGACUGAUGUGAUGUCUACUCACACCCGUGCAUCAGCACACCCAGAUACCCCGCGUCGCCACAGAUGCACAAACCUCGUUGCAUUUUGCUGGGGCCGGCGAACACACCUUCAUCGUUGGGGGGAUAAUGACUGAAGCUAACGACGAUCGAGUGUCGUCUAUUCCGAGAUCAAAAGAGUUUGUCACUUGCUCAGCAGGAGCUAAGCGCCACGACAACCCCACAGCACAGCGUGAAAACGCCGAGGUCAGAGAUGAAAGAGUUCAACAGGGUCAUGCCUGUCACCUUCUCCAUUUGCCACUUAAGUGUGCAUAUGUAAACACAGUCGACAAGCCGACGUGUAUUUGUGUGUGCGGGAGAGCGAGAGAACAAAAGUGAACAGAAAUCUUGACUGGAGAUAUAAAGAGAUUGCACCCACUUGUUGUCUCUACCACCACCAUGUAAAGCUCUUGUUUGCAAAAAAAAAAAAAAAAAAAGUCCAAACAAACAAAAAUUAAAGAGGUGCAAUUUGGAAGGAAGGACUUGGCAGUAGUUUGCCCAUUUGGCUGGCGGCUGCAGGCUGUCGCAGUGGUUAAGGAUUUACACGGAGGGAUGGGGAGGGAAAGAUACCGGAGAAAGUGUUUUUACCUGGUGUUUGUCUCGUUGUUUUCUCGGCAACUUUGACACCAGCAGCAGGGUGAGAGGCAAGCCCGCGUUGUUUACCGAGGUUGCGGCGAUAAGGGGGAUAACCCCUUUGUUUGCGGCGCUGCGUUUGUUGGAGGGCGUGACGCUGACUUGACACGCUUAAUUGCGCGCGCGGCCAGAGGACGUCCCUCAUCUUGUCGCCAGCAAAGUCGCGCAACGGCUGAAUGUGCACCUUAAUUACUGAGGUAUGGGAGGGGGAACCACCUUUUAAAGUCACUCGCACACAUACAUACUCUCACACACACAUACACAUACAUUCUCUCUCACACGCACUCACACAAUUUCGCGUGUGCUUAAAAAGGAAUGAAGGAGAUUUUUCAAAGCUUGGCACACCUUGAAAACCUCAAUGGCGAUGGAUAAACGCCCAGUGCUGUCAAAGGUGAGGCUUUUUAAUGUGCCUCGUUUCUUACGCAGACACCCACAAAUUUUGGAGAAAGAUAGCGGUAUUACAGGGAAGAUAAAUGCAUCCCUGAACCUUCCACAACCCCAGCUCAAAAAAAAAAAAAAAAAAAAAAAAAGCACGUAAUAUCUAAACAGUCUGAAGUGGCUGUGAAUGAAGUGAGUCGACCCUGAAGAGACAGCUUGACAAAAAGUCUUUAGACCAGAGAUAAAAACAUAAACAGAUGAAGUGUGGGAUUAAAAAUAGGUCUUCGCUGCUCCUCCACGCAGGUGGUACGUGUACUCUAGCCAACAACAGUGCAGGAUGGUGUGAUUGUUGGGUAGACGAUAUCAGAGCCAUCCAUCGGAACUGGUAUGUAUGAUGGAGGUAGGUAUGUAUGUAUGAUAGAGGCAGGUAAGUAGAAGUAAAAACGCGUUUGUGCUUGUCUCAAGAGUUCUACUAUAAUAAUAGUUAUUAUUGUUUGUGUAAGAUAGAUGAGUGUGAGACAGACAGAGAGAGACUAACCCUUAGACGUUGGCAAAGGAGGAGAAUGUAGAAGAAAGCUUUCUUGUGUGUGGUUGGAUGACACAUACUCGACUGUGCUAACUCAGCUAUUUUGUGCAUUAUUUGUUAGUGCUCAUUGUUUGCUACCAAUUGAGACAAAAUCUUCAACUGUUUCUGACGGUUGUGACAAUGGGAGUUAAAUGCAAUCAAACCUUUUGCCUUCAUGGUUUGUGUUGACACUUGACUCCGGCAAUGAUGACAGAAUGACCUAAUGUAGUCUGGGACCUACUGGGACCAUCUAUGACCUACCAAAGAUACUAAAAGCAAUAUCAAAUAUUUCAAUUUUGUUGGUCUGUUUUUUCAGGACAGAAGACACUUCUUGAUGUGGAACCAGCCAUGCGCGAGUCGGCCGUCAGUCGUUUCCUGUACGUCGCGAGGUCACGUCGCUCCCUCAUCACGUGGCGCGAGAAAACGUGUGAGACGUCAAACAAAGGUCGUGACCUGGGUCUCCCACAGUUGCCCACAGCGCCGACUGCUUGCUGCUGAGACGGUGGCAGAGGCAUGAUGUCAGCAGCCAUGGGACAACCUGCAGCAAGUUGCCAGCAACCCUAACAUUUUCCAUCCAGGAAGAGCCACAUUGCUGUCUUUUCUAUUUCUGAGACUUGAGGAAACCCCCCACGGACAUCCCUGGAGAGAGGAAACUAAGUGGCCGCCGGCAAACGCAUCGCCAGCGAGACAAGCGAGCGGAACAACUCUGGUGUUGUGGCAUCCUUGGCUUUGGGCUCCUUAGACAGAGUUACCAUCCUUGGCAGCUGGGCUUUGUGUUGUCAAGGUGUGUUAGCCUCACCCGCACCUCGGCUGUGUUUAUUGUCCAGGUGUUAAGAGAUAGUCUCUCCUGUUGACUUACUAUCCUUCUUUUGAAGCCGGCCUUGGUGCGUGCGUGUGUUAAAGGAUUAGUGGUUUGGAAUUUUUCUCUAAUGAUUGGGUAAAACUGAGUGCAAGAUACUGUUUCCCUACUGAAUACGUCCUUCCGUUCUCGAGAUACACACCUCUAACAUUCGUCUGCAUAGAAAGAAGUCACCAAGACUGAAGUCAGGAUUGUACAUGGAUACCUUUAGGUUCUCAAAGCCUUGGUCAGUGGUGAAGUUGGGACCAAAACGGGAUGCUGCUAUGCAUAAAUGGGACUUGACAGUUCUGACCUCUUUCUUUUCAUGGCUUCUUACCAGACACAUAUUGUGACUAUGGCGAACUUUCACAUGUCGAUCACAUUAAAGAAUAUUGCCACAUUUUGUCAUCUAUUUAUCAACGUGUUUACAGUUCUUUAAUAUUUCUUUUGAAUAUCUUUCUGUUCAAAAUUAUCUCUGCAGAUGUAAUAGCUUUCUGUAUGAAAGAGAGAAAAAAGAUAACAAAUAAUAAGCAAGUUCAUACAUUUGAAAUAUGACCUUACUAUGUACUUAGUCUCUGAGUCUUGUACCUCAGACUAUUCUACUAAUCCUCAUGGAGU
rnacentral:lncRNA from 1 species